rnacentral:tRNA from 1 species
GAGGAUAUAACUCAAUAGUAGAGCACUUACCUAGCAUGUUUGAGGCCCUGGGUUCAAUUCCCAGUACUACA